AAUCAACGCUGGCGGCGUGCCUCAGACAUGCAAGUCGAACGAUUAAAGCUCUCUUCGGAGAGUGCAUAGAGUGGCGCACGGGUGAGUAACACGUAAGUAAUCUACCUUCGAGUGGGGAAUAACGUCCGGAAACGGACGCUAAUACCGCAUAAUGCAGCGGCAUCGUAAGAUGACAGUUGUUAAAGAUUUAUCGCUUGAAGAGGAGCUUGCGGCAGAUUAGCUAGUUGGUAAGGUAACGGCUUACCAAGGCUACGAUCUGUAACCGGUCUUAGAGGACGGUCGGUCACACUGACACUGAAUAACGGGUCAGACUCCUACGGAGGCAGCAGUCGGGAAUUUUGGGCAAUGGGCGAAAGCCUGACCCAGCAACGCCGCGUGAAGGAUGAAGUAUUCGGUAUGUAAACUUCGAAAGAAUAGGAAGAAUAAAUGACGGUACUAUUUAUAAGGUCCGGCUAACUACGUGCCAGCAGCCGCGGUAAU
rnacentral:rRNA from 1 species